AACACUNAUUGACAAGGAUUGAAGUAUGGAAUGAAAAACGUUGGAUUUUGAAGAAAGUUACAGUGCAGUAUGUUCAAGGCAGAAAGCGUUACACGGCGUGCUUUGGGAGAAGACUUUGGUCCAAGGCAGUGUCAAGAAAUCUGCGACAUGGUCAUGUUCUUUGUUAAAGAAACGAUACUUUAUAUGCUUGGCAUAGUACCCAUACCUUUGCAACUAAUUUUUACCGAGACGGACAUUUUGCUAUUAAAAAUUGAAUUUUUCUGUUUUACUACUAUG